rnacentral:rRNA from 1 species
GGUCAAGAAGAGAAGCGCAAACGGUGGAUGCCUUGGCAGUAAGAGGCGAAGAAGGACGUGGAAUCCUGCGAAAAGCUAUGGGGAGCUGGAAACGAGCGUUGAGCCAUAGAUGUCCGAAUGGGGGAACCCGGCUGCAGCGAUGCGGUCAUUUGCAUUUGAAUACAUAGGAUGCAAAGGCGAACUCGGGGAACUGAAACAUCUAAGUACCCGAAGGAAAAGAAAUCAAGAGAGAUUCUCCAAGUAGCGGCGAGCGAACGGGGAGGAGCCUGGCGUGAUUUAUUAUUGAACUGAGUAGAACAAUUUGGGAAAGUUGGCCGUAGAGGGUGAAAGCCCCGUAUACGAAGGUUUGAUGAGGAACUAGGCACGCGAACAAGUAGGCCGGGACACGUGAAAUCCUGGUUGAAGAUGGGUGGACCAUCAUCCAAGGCUAAAUACUACUUACUGACCGAUAGUGAACCAGUACCGUGAGGGAAAGGUGAAAAGAACCCCGGAGAGGGGAGUGAAAUAGAAUCUGAAACCGUUUGCGUACAAGCAGUGGGAGCAUAGUUUAGGCUGUGUGACUGCGUACCUUUUGUAUAAUGGGUCAGCGAGUUACUUUCAGUGGCGAGGUUAACUGAAUAAGGGAGCCGUAGAGAAAUCGAGUCUGAAUAGGGCGAUAGUCGCUGGGAGUAGACCCGAAACCGGGCGAUCUAGCCAUGUGCAGGAUGAAGGUUGGGUAACACCAACUGGAGGUCCGAACCGGGUAAUGUUGAAAAAUUAUCGGAUGACGUGUGGCUAGGAGUGAAAGGCUAAUCAAGCCCGGAGAUAGCUGGUUCUCCCCGAAAGCUAUUUAGGUAGCGCCUCGUGAAUGAUUACUGGGGGUAGAGCACUGUUUCGGCUAGGGGGCUGUCAUGGCUUACCAAACCGAUGCAA